rnacentral:lncRNA from 12 species
AGGGUUGCAGCCCUUCGAGGAUUUCCGGAUUCUCAGCCAUGGGUUUUCUUCCUCCAGAGUCCGCGAUGGCCUUAUGGCCGGCCUCGGCCUCGGCGUCAGUCCUCCGGUGGUGCCCCCGCCAAAGGACGUUUUCUAGGUUCUAAAAAGGCCAACUCGUCCCUGGGUGGGCUCGAACCACCAACCUCUCGGUUAACAGCCGAGCGCGCUAACCGAUUGCGCCACAGAGACCUGCGGGCAGUCCCCGCCCACGUCCGUCUAGAUAGCGAGCUGUCACUCGGCGCUAGGGGGAGCCACCCGCCUUCCGUCGGCGGCGACCGGGCAGGGCGAGGCAGACGCCCGCGGCUCCCGGACGGUUCCUCCCUCCUGUCCCUCCCUCACCCACCUUGGGUGCCGGUGGCGCUCGGCUCACUCCCCUCCACGGCGGUCGGAGCUGGGGAGCUGCGGUGGUGCUGGAGGGGGUGGUCAACAGGGGCGAACGCCCAGGGCCUCGCGGGGCAGCGGGGGGAGGGGGUGGGGGCGAGGUGGCGCGGGCCGCCGGAGAUCCCCAGGACCCCGUGCCGAGGCUCGGGCCGGAUGGGGGUCAGGAGAUGGAGGCUGGGGGUUCUGCGCCGCGCAUCGGCGUCGAGGGGAAGGGGAGGUGUAUCCCCUCCCCAGGGUGGUGGGCCCGCAGGGGACGGCGGCAGCAGCCCUGCGGUUUCUUCGGAAGGAACGCGGCGCCGUACCUGGAACGACUUUGCGUCCAGAGGCCCCGCAGCGGCGGCCGAGCCCGCGGCCGGAAGGGUGGCGCGCCGUGAUCGUAUAGUGGUUAGUACUCUGCGUUGUGGCCGCAGCAACCUCGGUUCGAAUCCGAGUCACGGCACUCUUCCCGGGCGCUCGCCGCCUCUCCCUUUUACCUGGCGUGGAAACCCGCCCGCGGCGCUGGUCCCGGGGAGGGGGGGGCGCAGACGGCCCGGGGCGCCAGCAGGCCUUCCCCCGGAGCAGAGGGAAACUCCUCAGUGCACUGACCCGGGCACCGUCUCCUUCUGA